AAGGAAAAUAAGUUGAAAGUAGUAAUCCCUUCUUCUUCUCUAAGAUAAACCAGUCUGCGAUAGGGUUGGUCUGACAGAGAGCUGGGUCAGUUGGACUGAACUAUGUCAUGGAAGGAGAACAAGACCUCCAACUGAGACAAGAGCAUUAAUGUUCCAGUUCCCUAGAUGUUUUAAAAAAUGCAGAUAUUCUCAAUUGGUAUCACAAACUUAUACACGGAUACAUCAUUAGAACUAAGAAUUUAACAAUAUGUUCAACUGCGCAAGAAAAAUUCCAAGGUGAGAACUACUUCCACCCUUGGUUUUUUGGACCCAUGGGUUCUGCUUAUGAGCUAUCACACUAUACAGUGGGUCAAUUAUUUAGAAGAGAUGCUGCCUCCGGGGGGAUGGUACCCCAUCUUCACUGGUAAUCAUUUCCAAGCUGGUCCCUCAAAGGCAUCUUCAACAGGUUUUUAAAUUGCUCCACCAGCAAGCUUUCAACCACUAGAUUCUGGACCACUAGACUCUUUAACUAUAUCCCUGCUCCUGCACCACUGAUCAUCACUGGUAACUCUACCUCCUUUCCUGUAGAGUGGGUGCCUUGGCCCAGUGUAAUACUAUGUGG
rnacentral:lncRNA from 1 species